UACGUAGGGUGCGAGCGUUGUCCGGAAUUAUUGGGCGUAAAGGGCUCGUAGGCGGUUUGUCGCGUCGGGAGUGAAAACCUUGGGCUUAACUCAGGGCUUGCUUUCGAUACGGGCAGACUAGAGGUAUGCAGGGGAGAGCGGAAUUCCUGGUGUAGCGGUGAAAUGCGCAGAUAUCAGGAGGAACACCGGUGGCGAAGGCGGUUCUCUGGGCAUGAUCUGACGCUGAGGAGCGAAAGUGUGGGGAGCGAACAGG
rnacentral:rRNA from 1 species